GCUCAGAUUGAACGCUGGCGGCAUGCCUUACACAUGCAAGUCGAACGGCAGCACGGGUGCUUGCACCUGGUGGCGAGUGGCGAACGGGUGAGUAAUACAUCGGAACAUGUCCUGUAGUGGGGGAUAGCCCGGCGAAAGCCGGAUUAAUACCGCAUACGAUCCACGGAUGAAAGCGGGGGACCUUCGGGCCUCGCGCUAUAGGGUUGGCCGAUGGCUGAUUAGCUAGUUGGUGGGGUAAAGGCCUACCAAGGCGACGAUCAGUAGCUGGUCUGAGAGGACGACCAGCCACACUGGGACUGAGACACGGCCCAGACUCCUACGGGAGGCAGCAGUGGGGAAUUUUGGACAAUGGGCGAAAGCCUGAUCCAGCAAUGCCGCGUGUGUGAAGAAGGCCUUCGGGUUGUAAAGCACUUUUGUCCGGAAAGAAAUCCUUGGCUCUAAUACAGUCGGGGGAUGACGGUACCGGAAGAAUAAGCACCGGCUAACUACGUGCCAGCAGCCGCGGUAAUACGUAGGGUGCGAGCGUUAAUCGGAAUUACUGGGCGUAAAGCGUGCGCAGGCGGUUUGCUAAGACCGAUGUGAAAUCCCCGGGCUCAACCUGGGAACUGCAUUGGUGACUGGCAGGCUAGAGUAUGGCAGAGGGGGGUAGAAUUCCACGUGUAGCAGUGAAAUGCGUAGAGAUGUGGAGGAAUACCGAUGGCGAAGGCAGCCCCCUGGGCCAAUACUGACGCUCAUGCACGAAAGCGAUUUUCGGGGAGCAAACAGGAUUAGAUACCCUGGUAGUCCACGCCCUAAACGAUGUCAACUAGUUGUUGGGGAUUCAUUUCCUUAGUAACGUAGCUAACGCGUGAAGUUGACCGCCUGGGGAGUACGGUCGCAAGAUUAAAACUCAAAGGAAUUGACGGGGACCCGCACAAGCGGUGGAUGAUGUGGAUUAAUUCGAUGCAACGCGAAAAACCUUACCUACCCUUGACAUGGUCGGAAUCCUGCUGAGAGGUGGGAGUGCUCGAAAGAGAACCGGCGCACAGGUGCUGCAUGGCUGUCGUCAGCUCGUGUCGUGAGAUGUUGGGUUAAGUCCCGCAACGAGCGCAACCCUUGUCCUUAGUUGCUACGCAAGAGCACUCUAAGGAGACUGCCGGUGACAAACCGGAGGAAGGUGGGGAUGACGUCAAGUCCUCAUGGCCCUUAUGGGUAGGGCUUCACACGUCAUACAAUGGUCGGAACAGAGGGUUGCCAACCCGCGAGGGGGAGCUAAUCC
rnacentral:rRNA from 1 species